GUUACGCUAAUACCGCAUAUUCUCUCCGGAGGAAAGCAGGGGACCGCAAGGCCUUGCGCUCUUUGAGCGGCCGAUAUCAGAUUAGCUAGUUGGUGGGGUAAAAGCUCACCAAGGCGACGAUCUGUAGCGGGUCUGAGAGGAUGAUCCGCCACACUGGAACUGAGACACGGUCCAGACUCCUACGGGAGGCAGCAGUGGGGAAUUUUGGACAAUGGGGGCAACCCUGAUCCAGCCAUGCCGCGUGAGUGAAGAAGGCCUUCGGGUUGUAAAGCUCUUUCGGCCGGGAAGAAAUCGUAUCAGCUAAUACCUGGUGCGGAUGACGGUACCGGCAUAAGAAGCACCGGCUAACUACGUGCCAGCAGCCGCGGUAAUACGUAGGGUGCGAGCGUUAAUCGGAAUUACUGGGCGUAAAGCGUGCGCAGGCGGUUUUGUAAGACAGGCGUGAAAUCCCCGGGCUCAACCUGGGAACUGCGUUUGUGACUGCAAGGCUAGAGUACGGCAGAGGGGGGUGGAAUUCCACGUGUAGCAGUGAAAUGCGUAGAGAUGUGGAGGAACACCAAUGGCGAAGGCAGCCCCCUGGGUCGAUACUGACGCUCAUGCAAAAGCGUGGGUAGCAAACAGGAUUAGAUACCCUGGUAGUCCACGCCCUAAACGAUGUCAACUAGGUGUUGGGAGGGUAAAACCUUUUAGUACCGGAGCUAACGCGUGAAGUUGACCGCCUGGGGAGUACGGCCGCAAGGUUAAAACUCAAAGGAAUUGACGGGGACCCGCACAAGCGGUGGAUGAUGUGGAUUAAUUCGAUGCAACGCGAAAAACCUUACCUACCCUUGACGUGUCAGGAACUUUCCAGAGAUGGAUUGGUGCUCGAAAGAGAACCUGAACACAGGUGCUGCAUGGCUGUCGUCAGCUCGUGUCGUGAGAUGUUGGGUUAAGUCCCGCAACGAGCGCAACCCUUGUCGUUAAUUGCCAUCAUUUAGUUGGGCACUUUAACGAGACUGCCGGUGACAAACCGGAGGAAGGUGGGGAUGACGUCAAGUCCUCAUGGCCCUUAUGGGUAGGGCUUCACACGUCAUACAAUGGUCGGUACAAAGGGUCGCCAAGCCGCGAGGUGGAGCUAAUCCCAGAAAGCCGAUCGUAGUCCGGAUUGCAGGCUGCAACUCGCCUGCAUGAAGUCGGAAUCGCUAGUAAUCGUGGAUCAGCAUGUCACGGUGAAUACGUUCCCGGGUCUUGUACACACCGCCCGUCACACCAUGGGAGCGGGUUCCGCCAGAAGUAGGUAGCCUAACCGCAAGGAGGGCGCUUACCACGGCGGGGUUCGUGACUGGGGUGAAGUCGUAACAAGGUA
rnacentral:rRNA from 1 species